rnacentral:lncRNA from 1 species
GCUACUCCCUAGAGAGCCCGUGAGGCCAUUUUCAUUCAAACCACCACAGAGUCAAAGCAGGUGCUGCUGCUCCUUGCCUUGGGAAGUUGCCUGUCCAGAGUCCAGGGAUAGUGCAGUACAGACCAUUGUCCUCUGGCUUUGACAUAGCCCUUGUGUUCUUCAUCUGUCAGCAGCGUGAUCACCAGAAGACCUUCACAAGACUGGAUCCUCAACUUUCAGUCCUGAGGCAGGGUGGGGGCCUCAGCAGGCCCCACUUUUGUGAGGAUUUAUAGAUGGUUAAUAAUUGCUAGGGAGGUGUGGCUCUGGGGCCCCGCCCCUUCCAAAGAUUUAUAGGCAGUUAAUGAUUGCUAGGGGAUGAGGCUUGUGAGGCCCCGCCCCUUCUGAGGAUUUGUAAGCGGCCAUGGAUUUGAUGACGGCAGUUAUGUAUUGUCGUCCCCUCUGAGGAUGUAAUGGUUAUAGUGUUGUGGCUUCUGAGUUGCCCAAGUGCAUGUGUUACCAGUUAAAACAACCGAGUCACUGAAGUAGACGUGGAUGGGAUAGUUUGGUCCCUCUCUGUCCAUUGGUGUCCUCUCUGGAAUGGAUAGACUUAUGUUCAUUUCCCUGGGGAAAGCCACACAACAGACGACAGUGGACUGGGGACAGGGAAGUGAAGGGGAGGGAAGCUGUCACAGGGCUGGCGGGCUCUGGUGCCAAUCCUGAACAGAUGGAGGAGUCCGUCGCAGAGACAGAAACACUGGCAGAUGACCAAGGCUGCAGGGGAAGGCAUAUGCAUGGUUGGGGGCAAAAUGAUCCUGAAGUAGGUGGUGUUGAUUAUGUAACAUUGCUGUUUAAUGAAUCACCCAUCCCAAAAUGUUGAAGCUCACCGAGAAGGAAAAAAAAAGAGAGAGAGAGAGAUGGUUUUAUUUUAAUUCAUGCAGAAUUGUUUCAUCAUUUUAACAGACACAUAACAUUGUACAAUAACCUCAUGAGCUCUUUCUUGUGGUUAUUUAGCACCCACCCAGUGUUUCUGGCUUCAUGCAUUUUUACAAAGAAGCCAAUAUAAACACAUAAACAGCUGUGUUGGUUUAUGUGCAGAAAGAUACAGGACUGCAUAGAUAAUCCAGUACUCAUGAGGACUAGUCAAUGGGGGGCCACUACAGAAGGCAAGCUUUGCAUUCGUACCCUAAAGAUGUUUAUAAACUGACCUCCAUACAUAUGUUAAGUAUGAAGCCCUGUGUGUCCCCCCCAAACUCCCACCAAACCAUAUCAUCAGGUUCUUGGAUGUGUGUGUCCCUAUGCCAUGGUGUGCCUGUGUGGGUCAGAGGACAGUUUGCAGGAGUUGGUUCCCUCCUUCCACCUGGUUACCAAGGAUCAAACUCAAACGAUCAGGGUUGAUUGCAAGUGCCUUGACGUGCUGAGACAUCAUCUCGCCAGAUCCCUGUCUGUGUUGUUUUGUUUGGUUUUGUUUGGUUUGGUUUGGUUUGGUUUGGUAUUGUUGUUUUUUGGAGAUAGGGUUUCUAUGUAGCCCUGGUUGUAGCCCUGGCUAUCCUGGAACUCACUUUAGACCAGGCUGACCUCCAACUCUGCUUCCCAGAGUGCUGGGAUCAAAGGUAUGCGCCAUCACUGCCUGGCAUAUUUCUGUGACAUACAUGUGCUUGCACAAUCACACACACAAUAAAUAUUUAACAUGGGGCUGGAGAGAUGUCUCAGUGUUGAAGAGCUCUCUCUGAGGACUGGAACACUGAUCCCAACGCCGCACCACAAGCCGCAUCCCCACAAAUGCUCCAAGGGAGCAGACUUCUAGGGGGACUGACUUCUAGGGUUUGCUGGUUUCCAGCCAGGCCAAGACACUGGCCCUGGCCUAGAGACCCUGACUCAGAGGGGAUGGGCUCUAAAAGGUGGGAAUUGGCCCCUGAUGGCUUCUGGUUUCUAUCCAUGUCCCUGCGGGCAUCUGUCUGCCAAGUGCUGGGGUAAAGAUGUGCGCCACUGGCCAUGUCUUCUGUUGUUCUGUACGUUCUGGAGGCUGAGCUCAGGUCAGCAAAGCAAACACUUUUCCCACAGAUCCAUCUUCCCAGCCUGUUUUACAAUUAAUAUUUUUCCUCAAUAGGUUAGAAAUGGUGUCUCUGCACAUACUGCCCUUGCAGAGGCUUGAGUGCCCCAGUACCCACAUCAGGAAGCUCAUAACAGUCUGUUAACUCCAGAUCCAGGGGAUAUGGCCUCUGUGGGCACUGCACUCUCUCUCUCUCUCUCUCUCUCUCUCUCUCUCUCCCUCUCUCUCUCUCUCUCUCUCUCACAUACACACACACACACACACACAUACACAUACAAAUUGAAAAAUACAAAUAAAAUACUUUUUACAAAUGGUAUCUCUGCAGAUUCAAUCAAAUUUUAUUUAAUAUCCAGGGAGGUUAAAAAUCCCCCCUUUAUGAUAAGUAUUAUAUAUAUGUAAGUAUAUAUAAACUUUGUCCUUCUCAUCUCCAUCCUCCUCCUCUUCCUUCUCCUCCCCCUCCUCCUUCUGCUCCUCCUCCUGAAUACAAGCAGCACCAGACCAACUCUAUAUAGAGAAUAUCUUAUAUAACCCAGGCUGGCCUUGAAUGCCCACCCCUGCUGUCUCUAUUUCUGUUACAGGCAUGAGCCACCAUGCCUAGCAAUAGAGUUCCGUUUUGCCUUCCAAAUGUUUGGGCUUUUUGUUUGUUUGAUUCAAAUCAUGAUCUCACUCUGGAGCUCACACUGGUCUCCACCCUCUGAUCCUUCUGCCCUGGGAGUGAUGAGCUUAUAGGCUUAUAGGUGUAUGCUGCUAUACUCUGACUGGUGGGAAUUUUUUAUUAAUGCAUGACUUUUUACUUUAAUACAUCAGAUUACCAAGUAUUAACACUGUGACUUCUGUAAUGUGUUUAACGACUUCUCGUGCACUAUCACGAAUUUCCUUAAUCUUGUAACUAUGUUAGCUUUUUUAUUCACUUGAAUUCUAUUUUAAUCGGUUUUUUUUAUUCAGCAGGAUUUAUUUAUAUAUUCAUAUGUAUGUAUGCAACAAUAACAACUUAAUAAUAAAGGCUAUAAAACAAAGUAAAAAACAUUGGCUAUUAAAUAAAAGUAUAUAGAUAACCUUUACUUUGCAUUGUUAGAAACAUGUCCCCAUUUAACAAUAUUAUACAUAUUUUGUUCUAUGUCACUGGGAAUGUGACUUUAAUGGAAGAAUGGGCUGCAUUACCUUACUACAGUGAUCAGUGAAAUUUGCUGUAUCUUAUAAUCACUCAGGUGCUGUAAAAGUCCUCUAAAACCAUUCUUCACUUUAACCAAUUUAACUAUUUGCCAAUUGUGCUAGUUAUCGCUGUUUUAAAACUUCUUGUCUUCAAAUUAUAUGUUGAAUUCCU